AAAUCAUCUUUUUUUCCAUAUGGUAGAAUUAAUGACAAUACAAUUUUAAGAUAGUCAUUUUCUCUUGUAUUGAAGCAACUUGUUAAUGAAAUGCAAGUUAGUUGGCAUUUUAAACUUCUAGUAGUUCAUUUUUUUUAAAUCCAUGUAAUUCAGAUUAUAGAGGCUGAGCAGAGAAUGCAACUCAAUCACAACCAUCUUUUCUAUUUUCUUUUAAUGUACUCAGUUUAUUUAUAGUUUGAUAGUUUGUGUUUAGGUCUUUCUGUGCUUUUUUUUUUUUUUUCUUUUUCCCAUUGAGUUUUGUUUACAAGUGCUUGGUAAGGUUUUGGGUACUUUAGGAUGGAAGUUGUGAAGUCUAUGGAUAAUAUUAUCAUGCUCCUGAGCAUCCUUUUAUUCUCUACAGGCAAAUAGCAUAGACAUAAAUCACCUUGCUUCCACAGUGACUAUGAAUCCUUGAAGCUUUAAAGUUUGUGAAGGUUCUUCUAUUUUGUAUGUGUCCUUUCUUUUAAGGCAUAACCCUUUAGAAUUAUGAACUAUAAACUGGGGGUGAUUAUAGGAUCUGACUUCGUUUUUAGGACUUUGAAUGUAUUAGUUUUUACCUUGUACUCUGAAACUGCCAGACCCUUAAUAUGUGCUUUCUUUCUCAGAAGCUGUUUUCUUAGUUGUUUUAUGACUUUUUACUCUGUGUAUGUCCAGUUUAGGAAUUUGUAAAUUUUCGAGGGAGUGUACACAACAGGCCUGGAUUAACUUCCAUGGUUCUAUUUCUCUGCCAUUCUGUCCUCUUAAUUCCUGGUUGCUCUGGUUUACAUGAACUUCAUUAUCUGUUUCUUCAGCUUAGUGGCAACAAUACAAGUUCCAGAUCAUAAUCUCUGAUCCGGCUUCACAACUUGAAGAUAGCAAAUAACUUUUCAGGGAGAAGGCUACUUUGAAAGCAACCUUGGUCAAUGUCUAUAGGGUCUCUACUGUCAAGUUCUGGUACUUUAGUUGCUUUCUUAUGCUUUCAAUCAGUUACAUUUCAGUGUGUUACGCAUUUUGUGACUAUGAAUCAGCUUCCUUUUUUUCAAUCCACUGUGAUACAGGAGAAAUUGAGAUCCUAACUCAUUCAUUCAUUCAUGACAAUGGUGAAUUCACCACAGUCAAUAUGACCUUAGAAUUUGAUCAUUUGGUAACCACUCAGCCUUCCCAACAACCUUGUCGUUGGAAACAUUCUCAGUAGAAACUCCCAAGAUGAAACUGGAUACACUGAUAAUUUUUUCCAUCCGAUUUACCAGGUUUUCUUUAUAAGAUGCAAGCCACAGACAUUAGAAAUAGCCACUCCAACAAGUGAGAGAGCUAAAAUAAUACAUAAAUAAAUAUGAGGAGAUAAAUUCAGCAACUAUGACUUACAGAGAGCUAAAAUAAUAUCUAAAUAAAUAUAAUAAGGACAUAAAUUCAGUGACUUAUAAAUAGUAAAGAAAAUAUAAAAUAUAGCUUUGUUCAUAUUCAAAAAAAUAUAAAAUAUGGCCUCGUUCAUAUUUAUAAAACACAUC
rnacentral:lncRNA from 9 species